CCUACGGGCGGCAGCAGUGGGGAAUAUUGGACAAUGGGCGAAAGCCUGAUCCAGCCAUGCCGCGUGUGUGAAGAAGGCCUUCGGGUUGUAAAGCACUUUCAGUGGGGAAGAAAGCCUUGGGGCUAAUACCCUCGAGGAAGGACAUCACCCACAGAAGAAGCACCGGCUAACUCCGUGCCAGCAGCCGCGGUAAUACGGAGGGUGCGAGCGUUAAUCGGAAUUACUGGGCGUAAAGCGCGCGUAGGCGGUCUGAUAAGCUGGUUGUGAAAGCCCCGGGCUCAACCUGGGAACGGCAUCCGGAACUGUCAGGCUAGAGUGCAGGAGAGGAAGGUAGAAUUCCCGGUGUAGCGGUGAAAUGCGUAGAGAUCGGGAGGAAUACCAGUGGCGAAGGCGGCCUUCUGGACUGACACUGACGCUGAGGUGCGAAAGCGUGGGUAGCAAACAGGAUUAGAUACCCGGGUAGUC
rnacentral:rRNA from 1 species